CUUCACUCUCGGCACUCUCCUAAUCUCUCUCUCUUCCGAUUUUCUUCUCCAAAGAUCACCAUAGAUGCACCUCCAAAGCUUCCUAAACACACAUCAAGAUCAAAAUCAUCCAUCAAAUCAAGCUUAAACACUUCCAAAUCUUGAAAUUUCAAGAAAACCGUGGAGCUUGAUCAUGAAGAUUGAAAGAGGAAAACUUUGAUCUUUGUUUAAUCUUGGACACGAGCAGAGCAAGGAAGUAAGUAACUCCGCUUUGACGGGAGAUUUUGAGUAAGGUCUUCAGGCUAAGCAAUGGAGCGAAAUUGGAAUGGUGCUGGCGGGGAUUGUUUUGAUGACAAACUUUCUUGUCUACUAUCUUUUUGAUGCUAGAGUCUUAAGAAUGAUAUACUUUGCUCACCUUUUGAACGAUGAUAAAACCUUAGUGAUAUGAUACCUUUAUUCCUUUAUAAUCAAGUAAUAUUCUCACGGUUAUAUGUC